GGAAAUUAGGAUUCGUAUUGCGCCGUUUCAACUCCUUCUCUCAACCUCUCGUUCUCAGACUUCCCUCUUUCUUUUACGUCAUCGGAAAUCGUCUCCGCCGCGUCGGGGGCGGCGGAGCUUGACCAAAUGUGAAAUUAAAACACUCAACCACACCUAUUUCCCUUCCUCUCUUCGAAUCUUUAACUCUCUUUCACCGAUUCACGCUCACACUCCUUUAAUCAGACCAACCAGUAAACCCUAGAUCUAGAGAGAAAUCAAAUCAAAGGCUAAUGACUACGAAUCAUAGAUCAAGAUCAUGGGGGAAGCGCUCAGGAAUGCUAGUACUACACCAUAUCAUCAAGAAAACAGAAAAAUAUGGAGGUGGAGAAGGUGAUUCGAAAACUUACCUGGAUCGGAAGAUAUGUGUGUGACGGCGAGAAUACCAGAGGUGAGGCUCCAGCUAACUUGGCGAAAUAAACGCGAUCUUCAGGGGAAUUCUGGUUUGGAAACUGGUGGUAGCAAGAUUGUGUAUGGCAGGGCCUUUUGGUGCUAUUGUUAGCUUUUAUUUGGUAUUGAAUGUUGUGGUUUAUUUGUGUAAGGGAUUGGUUUCAUUUGAACUGAUGGCAUGUGUAUGAUGUCGAUGAAUGCUGGCAUUUGUGAACUGAUAUGAUGUUGAAACAGAAUAUAUGCCGGGCUGGAAUCGCCGGUUUGAAUUGACGUGGUGGGCAAGUAUGGUUGGCUGUGAGCUUUGGAAAAUGUAUGAGGCAGUUGCGGUUUGGUUGAGUACAAGGAUGUGAAGAUGAAAAGGCCCUGGGAGCUUGAAGUUUAUUGGUCUGGCACCAUUAGGUCUCAUGUUUAGAUAAUGUAACAGCCUGAUUUUUGGACCUCUGGAUGUGGAUUCUUCUCUUUGUAAUAAUGAAUAUAAUGAUCUUUAGGCUUGAAACUGUGGGCCUGUGAUAAAUGUGAUAUAAGAAUUUUGUAAUGAAGUUUGGCAAUUUUAA